CCAAUAGCGUAUAUUAAAGUUGUUGCAGUUAAAAAGCUCGUAGUUGAAUUUCGGGAUUGACGUGAUGGUCGUGCCUUAAGGGGUAUGAACUGUCGCCGUUGAUUUCUCACCUUCUGGAGAAGCUCGAUGUCCUUAAUUGGAUGUCUUGUGGAACCAGGACCUUUACCUUGAAAAAAUUAGAGUGUUUAAAGCAGGCAUUAUGCUCGAAUACAUUAGCAUGGAAUAAUAGAAUAGGACGGCAUGGUUCUAUUUUGUUGGUUUCUAGGAUCACCGUAAUGAUUAAUAGGGAUAGUUGGGGGCAUUAGUAUUCAAUUGUCAGAGGUGAAAUUCUUGGAUUUAUUGAAGACUAACUACUGCGAAAGCAUUUGCCAAGGAUGUUUUCAUUAAUCAAGAACGAAAGUUAGGGGAUCGAAGACGAUCAGAUACCGUCGUAGUCUUAACCAUAAACUAUGCCGACUAGGAAUCAGACGAUGUUAAUUUUUUAAUGACUCGUUUGGCACCUUACG
rnacentral:rRNA from 1 species